rnacentral:rRNA from 1 species
GUCGAGCGGAAACGAGUUAACUGAACCUUCGGGGGACGUUAACGGCGUCGAGCGGCGGACGGGUGAGUAAUGCCUGGGAAAUUGCCCUGAUGUGGGGGAUAACCAUUGGAAACGAUGGCUAAUACCGCAUAAUAGCUUCGGCUCAAAGAGGGGGACCUACGGGCCUCUCGCGUCAGGAUAUGCCCAGGUGGGAUUAGCUAGUUGGUGAGGUAAUGGCUCACCAAGGCGACGAUCCCUAGCUGGUCUGAGAGGAUGAUCAGCCACACUGGAACUGAGACACGGUCCAGACUCCUACGGGAGGCAGCAGUGGGGAAUAUUGCACAAUGGGCGCAAGCCUGAUGCAGCCAUGCCGCGUGUGUGAAGAAGGCCUUCGGGUUGUAAAGCACUUUCAGCAGUGAGGAAGGCGGGUACGUUAAUAGCGUGCUCGUUUGACGUUAGCUGCAGAAGAAGCACCGGCUAACUCCGUGCCAGCAGCCGCGGUAAUACGGAGGGUGCGAGCGUUAAUCGGAAUUACUGGGCGUAAAGCGCAUGCAGGUGGUUAGUUAAGUCAGAUGUGAAAGCCCGGGGCUCAACCUCGGAACUGCAUUUGAAACUGGCUGACUAGAGUACUGUAGAGGGGGGUAGAAUUUCAGGUGUAGCGGUGAAAUGCGUAGAGAUCUGAAGGAAUACCGGUGGCGAAGGCGGCCCCCUGGACAGAUACUGA